rnacentral:rRNA from 1 species
UACGUAGGGUGCAAGCGUUAAUCGGAAUUACUGGGCGUAAAGCGUGCGCAGGCGGUUCUAUAAGUCAGAUGUGAAAUCCCCGGGCUCAACCUGGGAACUGCAUUUGUGACUGUAGAGCUGGAGUACGGUAGAGGGGGAUGGAAUUCCGCGUGUAGCAGUGAAAUGCGUAGAUAUGCGGAGGAACACCGAUGGCGAAGGCAGGUCUCUGGGCUGACACUGACGCUCAUGCACGAAAGCGUGGGGAGCAAACAGG